UGGGGCCUCUCGGACGAGCACUUCCAGCCCAGACCCGAAGCAGUUCAGUUCUUUAAUGUGACGACGCUCCAGAAGGAACUGUACGACUUCGCUCAGGAACACCUAAUGGAUGAAGAUGUGGGAGAGGUUGUGGAGUAUGUGGACGACUUGUUGGAGAUGGAAGAGUCUGCCUAGUCCACAGGGGCUAAGGAACCUCUGUUCCGCGUUCCUCUUUCUUCAAGUGCCUGGGUUGUUGAUACCUCACAGCCUCUCUUCUUAAAGUAAGAAGGAAGCCACCAUCUUUCCCUACCAAGGUCAAGCCUGACUUCCCCUGUUCACACUCAGUAUUCACGCUUGUCUUCAUGGUUACAUGUCUUCAUGUCUGUCUUUCCCUUCACACAUGUGUUCCCUUCAUCUAGUCUGCCCUCCUCACGGUCACGUUCGUCUCCCCUCUGAUCCCAUGUGUCUCCUCCAUGUUCAGAAAGACAGUCUUCUGUGGUCUGCUUUCUCAUCCCUGAAGAAAAAUCAGUAUUAUUUUUUAAGUAAGAAAAAC